AAAUUGUAAAUUUUUAUGGAAAAUAAUAAUUCUCAUUGCAACAAACAAUCAUUUAGGUCAUCGUCAUCACUUAUUCCUCACAGUGAUCUCGUCGCUCCUCCUCAUCAUAGCUUCUGCUCGCGCGACGCCGGCGACCACAUCGGGUACCCCGUCGCCCAAUGUUGACGACCCCCACCUUCCUCGCACGUUGCUGACGACCCCCUCCACACUCUUGCCGGAAUCAGAAGAGCCACACCAGAAUGAUGAGAAUGAGACAAAAUGCUAGUGCUGCAGCUGAAAAAAGGGAAACAGAAGUUCCGGUGGCUGUCCAUGAUGACACAAAGAACAAUUCGGAUUCUGAUGGAUCAUGUAGAAGGGUGUUUUACCUUUGUGUGGGUGUGCGUAUGUUGAACUCAUUAGUAGUGCAGACAUAUUUUAACCCUGAUGAGCACUGGCAGUCUCUUGAAGUUGCUCAUCGCCUUGUGUUUGGAUAUGGACAUCUUACAUGGGAAUGGAAGAGGGGAAUUCGAAGCUACUUGCAUCCACUCUUGUUUGCUCUUCUUUAUAAAAUCCUAGCUUUUCUUCAUCUUGAUACUCCUUGGCUUAUGAUGAAGGCGCCGCGUCUGCUGCAAUCUGUUUUUGCUGCUGUAUGUGAUUUGUAUUUGUACAAGUUUUCUAACAUGAUUUUUGGGAAUCAGGUUGCCCGGUGGACACUUUUCUCUCACCUUACAAACUGGUUCGUGUUUUUCUGUUGUACAAGAACUUUAUCAAACAGCUUAGAGGCUGUUCUUACUGUAGUUAGUUUGUAUUAUUGGCCAUGCAUGAGAGUCAGCUCUGGUAAAAUGUCUUCAAGUUCAAGAAGGUGGGCUUUGGCUGUUGCUGCAUUAGCCUGUGCUGUUCGUCCAACCAGUGCUAUAGUAUGGUUGUAUGUUGGUUUUGUUGAGCUCCUCAUGGCGUCAGAUAAAUUGAAAUUCAUCUUUCUUGAGGCCGCUCCUAUUGGGGCAGUGGUGUUCGCAAUCACAUCUUUGUUGGAUUGUAUGAUAUAUGGGUCUUGGGUCAUAGUGCCUCUUAAUUUUCUGAAAUUCAACUUUCUUUCCUCUGGUGGAGAUUAUUAUGGAACUCAUCCAUGGCACUGGUACUUCACUCAAGGCUUUCCUGUGAUGCUCUUCACCUUCUUGCCAUUUUGUGUGGCGGGCGUCAUUUACUCUAAAUGUUGGAGGCUCUCUGGCUUAAUUGGGUGGGUUGUAGGCAUGUACAGUGUGCUAGGUCAUAAAGAAUUCAGGUUUGUGUUGCCAGUUCUUCCUAUAGCAUUGAUGUUUUCAGGGUAUUCAUUAGCAGCUCUUAAAUCACCAGACUUACCUAUGGGUAAGAGCAAAAGGGCAUCAACUACACAUACUAAGUGGCCUUCAAAGUUGCGAUUAGCAGUUUUCUUUUUGCUUGCCACAAACAUCCCGAUGGGCCUUUACAUGAGUUUGGUUCACCAGAGAGGAUCUGAAGAUGCAAUGCACUAUCUUGCUAGAGAAGCACUCAGUGGCGAAGUCAGAAGUGUACUCUUCCUGACACCUUGCCAUGCCACACCCUAUUACUCUGCUCUUCACCAAAAUUUGCCCAUGCGCUUCUUGGACUGUACACCAAGUGAACAAAGAGGAACCCCUGAUGAAUCAGACCGUUUCUUGUUGGAUCCAUAUGGUUUUGCAUCAGAAUUUGCAAAAAACUGGUCUUUACCUAGCCACAUUGUUUUAUUCGAUUCUGAAGAGAAGAAGCUGAAAGAUUUUCUAAAUUCCAAUUCUUUCACAGAGAUCUUGAUGAUGAAUUUUUGAUAUGGAGUGUCCUCUUUAACUGCUAAGCAUUGCUCAAGACUUAAGAGUGUCCUCUUUUACUUCACCAACCACCACUGAGGAGUGAGGACUGUGUAGUGAAUUUUUAUGAAUGAGCAGGAACAUGAGGACACUUCAAUACAGAUUCUUGGUGUUCUGUCACCUGGUCCAUUGUCAUUCGAAAGGGAAGUUUGAAAUAUGAACAUAUCUUAAGGAUUGCAUCUGCAGAUUAUCCAGCAGCAAAGAGAUGUCUAGUACCUGAUCUCUAUGCAGUGCUAACUGCUAAGCAUCAAAGCUGAGCUGAUGCAGCCUGCAGAACUUGUAGCAUUAUUGCAUGGAAAAUGCCUCUGAACAGAGAACCAACCGAAAAUAGUAAACAGGUUUUCAAAUAGAUUUUAAACAAAAAAUAUUUCAUUUUUGUAAUACUGUAUGGCUUUCCCUUUCCUGUUGUCAAGGAUGAUGUGGAAAAUGUGGUCCGAUUUUAGUAGUAUAUAAAGUACCAAAUUUUUGCAAUAACUGUAAAUCCUGAAAAAGAAUGAUGAUGUCUAGGUGGAAGGUAAUUUGUAAAGUUGCUCUUCAAUUCUUCAAGGCCCUAGGAGAUUCUCAAUGAAAAACUUUGACUCAUAUGAUAAGGUAAAAUGAUGCAGUAUAUUAUUU